rnacentral:rRNA from 1 species
GAAAGAGUAAACAUUCUUGGUUAUAAUAGUUAACUUAUUUAUUUUAUUUAUAUUAAUAAUUUUUAGGUGAAAUUUAUAAUUAUUAUAUAAUUAUUUUAAUAGUGAAGCUAUGAAAUUUAUAUAAAAAACAAGGAUUAGAUACCCUUUUAUUAUAAAUGUAACAAUUAACCUGGGUAGUAUUAGUUAUGUUCUUGAAACUCAAAGGAUUUGGCGGUAUUUUAGUCCUUUCAGAGGAAUCUGUUCCGUUAUCGACAACCCACGAAUAGACUUACUUGAUUUUGUUUUACAGUUUGUAUACCUCCGUCAUAAGAAUAUCUUUUUAGAGAAAAUUUUCUUAAUAUAAUAAAUAUAAUAUGUCAGGUCAAGGUGCAAUUAAUAAUCAAGUGGAAAUGGAUUACAAUAAAUUUAAUUAUACGGAUUAAAUUAUUUGAUUUUUUAUGAAGGUGGAUUUGAUAGUAAUUUUAUUAUUUUAUUAAUUUGAUUUUGGCUCUAAAAUAUGUACACAUCGCCCGUCGCUCUCUUUAUUAAAAUGAGAUAAGUCGUAACAUAGUAGAUGUAUCGGAAGAUGUAUCUAGAAAGUA